AAACCUUAAUUAUAAUGCAAAAUUCAGAAUCUACCUCCUUGUAGAAACCACGAUCCAGAUCUGCUUUCUGUAGAAGCUCCCAUGGAGUUCUUUGACGAAGAAAGCAGACCCAGAUUCGUCCUUCAAUCCCGAUCUACCCCAAAAACUACCCCCAAAUCCGAAAAGCUUGAUGAUCUCCACAAGCCUGCUCUCUUUGUCUCUCUUUCCCUCUCUGCCCUCCUCUUAACCCUCUCCCUUUUCUACUUCCAAUCUGAUCCUCUGCAAUCCAUCUUCAUCUGGUUCUCAUUAUCUCUCCUCGUAGGCCCCUUUGCUCCUCCCUCCCUGACCGCUGGCGACAUCCGGGUCGGUCUUGGUCCGGCCAUCCAACCCCAAAGUCCUCGACAAACCCCAGAACCCGAACCAUUAAAAAGAUCAAGAUUCAAGACAAAAAAACCCGAUCAAGAUUUCAUAUCGGUCCCUGCUGUCGUCGUGAACGAAACUCCAAAGCCCAGCAACAAGAGCGAUUCCAAUGUUAUUGUGGUGGAAGAUAAAGAAUGGAGUGAAGGAGAUCUGGAGUUGUUGAAGAAGCAGAUGGUGAAGAAUCCUGUAGGGAUGCCAGGGCGGUGGGAAGCGGUGGCGGAGGUGUUUUCUGGGCGCCAUAAGGUGGAGAGUGUGGUGAAGAUGGCGAAAUCGAUGGGCGAAAGGAAAAUCGGCGACUCAGAUUCUUUUUCAAAGUUUUUGAAAGAUAGGAAGGCAGUGGACAAGAGGGUUGAUGAGGUUAUCGAGAAUGAAAGGGAGCAGGUCAGUAAUGGUGGAAGUUGGAGCUCCGCCGAGGACAUAGCUCUGCUCAAUGCUUUAAAAGCUUUCCCUAAAGAUUCAGCCUUGAGGUGGGAGAAGAUCACAGCUGCUGUCCCUGGAAGAUCAAAGGCGGCUUGCAUGAAGAGGGUUGCUGAUCUUAAAAAAGAUUUUAGGAGUUCAAAAGUUUCUUCCGAGGCUUAAAUCUUAAUCAAUCAAGAGUGCUCGCAGAAUCUACAACCAGUUUUUUUUCUUUUGAAACAAUGAAAACCCAUCGAAGAGGAAAGCGCUCUGAGUGAGCUAAUAUGUAGGCAUUUUGGGCAUCAAUGGUGAUGAAGAAAUGGUGAAAAGUAUAAUGAUUUUAGUGAAGAUGAAGUUGAUACAGCGUCUGAAAGUGAAGAUGAUUGUUUGAUUGAUUUCAAAAGUCUGAAGCAUACAAAGAUAGGACUUACUCUCUUUGACUUUUAAGGUCAAAAAUCAGCUUAACAGUUUGAUGUAAAGUAGUGUUAAAAUGUUGUGAAGUCUUAACAAAUUAUACAACUUGUUACAACACUUCAUACAAAUUCUGAUUAAAACUCUGUUUUUCA